CCAAAAGAAAAAAUUAAAAGUAAAAUAAAAUUCACUGACAUGCUUUAAAAAGUAUUUAAAUGACACAAUUGAUCCCUGAUAAAUCCCACAUUCCUUUUCUCUUCCUAUUUAUACUCUCUCACCUCUUACUCUCUAGUAAGAAAAUGGUUGAAGGCCCAGCGAAAGAGACAUCACAGCUUGAAAUAAAAAGUAGAGAAACUGAGGACAACUUAAUAACAUGCUUUGUCACAGAAACCUUUAAUGAAAUGGAAAAGAAAAAUCUUGAGAAAGGAAAGUUACUCAGCAAGUGCCUACAGAGUGUGGUAAUUGUGAAAUUGGAGUGUUAGAAACCAAUAGUGCAGGCUUUAUUUAAGGUUGUUGAUACUCACUUGUUUGGUGAUAAAAUCGAAGUCCAGAGUUCUCCCAGGAGCUUGAUUUCAUCUCUGCCUUCCUCCUCAACUACACAGAGCUCUAACUCAACCCCCGUGCUGUUAUUGUACCAUGAGGAACCACCUUGGCCUUGUUAAUAGGCUAUGCCAAAAGCUGGAGCAGCCCCAGCAGAGGAAAUCUGAUUCCAAUUUUGGGAUGAAAGUACAAUCCCCCCUGCCAGGUUUAAAUUGAGAGCAUAUUAUUCAUUUUUAGUUAAUUUCUCAGCCUGCAGAAUAAUUCAGCACAUGUGCGCUGUGUAUGUUCCCUCAGCUGCCUCCUUAGAGACCCUGACCUUGAGGGGAUAGUUGUAAUUGGGGGGAAAAGUCAAUAAAUGACAAUCAUAGUUAAAUGCCCUAUUUGUGUAAGAAAAUGCAUGUAAUAAAAGCAAAAGAAGAACAAACACAAGAGAAGUGGAUUAAUACGUUUUUCUUGUCUUGGAUUUAAUUUUUUGCUUAAUGUCAAGGUCUAAAGCACCACAGGGGCGAAGAAGUGAAAUGCAAAGGUUCUCAAGACACUUGUGCUGGGAAGAAACAUGAUUACAGUAAGUCAGCGUGGGAGAAGCCAUCCCGUUCAUGGGAAAAUCAUACCUUCCUUCAGAUUUUAACUAACUCCGUUUCUUCUGGGGGGUGGGCUCCGCAUUCCUCACUCAGCAACCAGAAUUGCUGAAAGGCAACUUGCUGAUGCUUCUCGAACUGAGAAUGUGAGGAAGUCAUGAAAUUGACCAGAGUACUCCUUGCCAGCCGGACACAAGGCUUUCCAAGUAGAUUAAGAAAUAUUCCCCCUAACCCUAGUACACUGUUGGUGGGAUUGUAAAUUGGUGCGACCACUGUGGAAAGCAGUAUGGAGAUGCCUCAGAAAA